GAUGAACGCUAGCGGCAGGCUUAAUACAUGCAAGUCGAGGGGCAGCAGGGUGUAGCAAUACAUCGCUGGCGACCGGCAAACGGGUGCGGAACACGUACGCAACCUUCCUUCAAGUGAGGAAUAGCCCAGGGAAACUUGGAUUAAUACCUCGUAACAUUGUGAAGUGGCAUCACUUUAUAAUUAUAGCUCAGGCGCUUGAAGAUGGGCGUGCGACUGAUUAGGUAAGUUGGCGGAGUAACAGCCCACCAAGACCUGCGAUCAGUAACUAGGUGUGAGAGCACGA
rnacentral:rRNA from 1 species